CCGCCUCCAUUGCCGGUUGUGUUCGCUAGAGGCGAACUCAGUUUCCCAGGUGGCCCUGCGGCAGCCAGUCCAGAGUUGGACUUUAGAAACCAAGACGAAGUUUUGAACUCGGCGGCGGCAGUUGUCGCUUGCACAGCUGGGAGAGCAAGCACAAGACACCAGGGAGCCAGACCCUUGCCGCUCCCCGCCACAGGAUAUGAGUAGGAGCCUCAGCUGGUUUGAGCAGCUCAGUGUGCUUCUCAACGCUACUGAUGGAAAAGUGUCCCAAAUUAAGGUGAGGCGUCGGUGGAGGCCCCCAGUUUGCGUGGGCAGGUUAAGGGACUCUCAGAGCUCAUUGGCCCGUGCAACUGUUUGUUUUAUAGCUGCGGAUCCCUCUGGGGGUCUCCACCGCAGGGGACCGGUCUGAAACCUGGAUUUCCUCUCACUACUUGCCUCUGCAGUUAGGAGUCCAAGCUCAACAGCUUUGGGCUUUAGAGACUCCCACAGCCUCGCAAAGGCUGAGCUGGCCUGAGUCCUAUAGCCCAUCCUCUCUCUCUAAGAUGAAGUUACUAUUCUAUGAUCCCAGGUUCAAUCUCAGGCUCAGGGGACUGAGGCACUAAGGCAGGUAGUGCAGGGCCUGCUAGAAGAGUGAGAGCAGCAGAAGUACCAGAUCAGUGUCCUGGAAGGACCUCCAUUUGUGUUCUCCAAUCUAAGCUGUUUCUGGGCUGCCCGCCCCUCCCCUCUUGAUGUAGCUGUUAUCUGUCCUCUCUACUGAGGCUUUUCACUGCCUGCCCACCCUUGCCCCCAAACUGCAAUAAAAUGAUUUAACCCUC